CCCUUAGACGUUCUGGGCCGCACGCGCGCUACACUGACCAGUACAACAAGCAUCCGUCCUUGGCCGACAGGCUCGGGCAAUCUUUGAACGCUGGUCGUGAUGGGGAUAGACUUUUGCAAUUUUUGGUCUUCAACGAGGAAUUCCUAGUAAACGCAAGUCAUCAACUUGCAUUGAUUACGUCCCUGCCCUUUGUACACACCGCCCGUCGCACCUACCGAUUGAAUGGUCCGGUGAAAUCUCGGGACGGCGGCUUGGUCGCUUGCGUCCGACUGCUGAAACUUGAUUAAACCAUAUCAUUUAGAGGAAGGUGAANUCGUANCA
rnacentral:rRNA from 1 species